AAAAUUAUUAGUUGCAAGAGGAAAUAAGUGUUGUGAAUGAUUAGAAGAAAUAGUGUCUGUAUUAGAAAAAUACAGCUGCAAAAGAAAAAAAAAACAUUAAGAAACACAUGUGCAUAAAAAUAUACACUAGGAUAAAAGAGCCGUAAGAUAUUCUAUAAAAAAGGCAUUCUAUAAAAAAGCAUUGAGCUCAAAGUCUAGACAUCUUGCUUCAGUCUGAUCCAGGUUUCUUUCCAUAUCACCUCCUCUCCAAUGAACGUUCACUUUCUCAAUAGGUAGAAAUUUCAGUCCCGUGGGAUCUCCUCCGUGGAAUUCCUGAAAAUGUUUAGAAAGAUUAUGUGUUUGGAGUCCCCAUUUUGAUGUUUCGGAUAUGUUCCGCUAUUCUGGUUUUCAAUGGUCCUUUUGUUCAUCCCACAUACUGUUUGGGGCAGGGACAAGUGAUAA